AGAAAAGCAGUGUUGCUUCAGGUAGUUAUAUCUUAAUCACUCUAAAUUCUUGGCUACAUUCCUAAUUUUUAGUGAUCAGAUUAGAUUAGAUUACAUUAGAAAAGGUUUAUUGAUAUGUUAAUACUUGCUUUGGUGCUGUAAGCACAAUAAAUUAUUAGCAAAACUAUGCUUUUAACAUGUAUACAAUUAGCCUUGCAGACAAGCGUUGGAGUGGUUGUUUCCCAAUGCUGGAGAUCACACCCUCCCUCUUAAAAAUUAUAAUGUACAAAAGAAAAAUGUGUACAAUUUUGCUUUGCAAUAUUGACAAACAAAAAUCUUGCAGGGAAAGGGAGUGAACCAGAGU
rnacentral:misc_RNA from 1 species